AAUUCUACAUGAAAAUUCGGUGACUUAUUUCCAUUGGAACCAGAUAGGAUAGCUUCAAUACUUGAACAUUGGCAUGACUUAACUCCAAGAAAAAGAUUUAUUCUUGCUUACCCAGACAGUAUUUGAAUAUUCAAUUGAGAGAGAGAAAAGUAAAGUAUUUUCUGGCUCUGCAUUUGAUGUGGAAGCCAUGAUGGCAUGUCCACAGUAAAGCACUUCAUUUUGCUUAUUCUGAACUUUUUUUUGUGCCCUCGUUUUCUUUCAAGACAAUCAAAUGCUCCUUUUCUCCUUUAUGAACUGUACCUCUACUCUCUCGGAGCAACCAGCUGCCUCCUUUCUCUCACUUGCAGCCAUGACAGACUCACUGGGUAAAUCUUAUCUCUUAGUUUAUUUUCUUGCUUCUCUUUCUCGUUACUUGCUAAUAUUUUUUUCUGGACUAAGGGGUUCUGUAGAUAUCCAACAAAAGAAGAAAAGAAAUACAAAGAAUGUGGAAAAUUAAUGGAAGAAAGCUUCUGCCUGUAGAUUAACUUUGAAAGCUUUAAUUUUGCCUAUUUAACUCAUUUUCACCGAGUGAGUUAAUACUGUCAUUACAUUAUCAGCUUUCCUGAUCCUUGCAUGCUAUUGUUGUCAUGUUCACUGAUUUUCUCCCUUCUCAUGUACUGAUAUUCUAUAAUUGCUCCUUUUCUCUAUCUGUCUAUUUCAGUUCUCUUCUUUUUCUUUCGUGAAACUUGAUUCCUGUUGAGGUGCCAUCACUUUCAUGUUAUGUGACCAGUGCUUCAGAAUCUAUUUCAUUGUAGAGUGUUACAUUAUCCAUUGAUGAUACAGUAGAACAAGCUUUGCUAAACUGAGAAAGCAGACAAUAGAAAUCCAUAUAUCAGAACCAAGGUGUCCUUAUAAGCUGCAUUUAGGUCUUCGAAAGAACGGCAAGGAAUCACUCAAGGAAGGAAUUCUCUUGAUAGAAUUUUCAUUCAUUGCCUUUUCCUUGGUUUUUCCAAGUUGCUGUUUUGCUUGAACAAUUUCAAACAUGCAGAUGGUUGAGGGUAGGGUUCAUACUCAUUUGAGAGCUAAUGCCAGAUUUCUCAUAUAGUAACCUACAUAUAUGAUUUUAUUUUGUUGAAAUGCAUUCAAUUAUCCUGAUAUGAAUUCAUACUCAUUCAGGAACAAAUAAUAUACAAUCUUUUUUUUUUUUUCUUUUUCUUUAGCUUUAAGCUUUCAUCACAGUUAAGUCUAUUGACUGAUAUUAGCCUGCAUAAUGCAGCUUCGUUUUAGUAGCAUUUAGAAAGACGUAUUGUUACCUUUGAAUGAAGCAACAUAGCUAGACAGAAGAUAAAGAAAGGGAUUAAAUUAUGUUUAGUAUGCAUUAAAAGAUCUUUGUGAAAUUAGUAAAUUAAACAGAUCUUAUGUCUAACUCUUUUGUUGAGCCUGCAUUUUGAUUCCUCCUUGUGUCUAAUUUUCAAGGCACAUCCCACCCUCUCCCUUCUUUCAAGUCCUUGUCAUCCAAAACAGGAGGGAUGUUUUUCCAUUGUGGAUCACCAAACAAAUAUAAGAGGCUGGAUGAAUAUACUAAUCAUGUGGUUUCCUCAGUUUAAUGAAGAACUGAAACACAUCAGAGGGGUAUUUGAACAGUAUGAUGAAGAUGUAAAUGGAUCUAUUGACCUUGAGGAACUCAAAAAAUGCUUACAAAAGCUGCACUCACUUUAAAAGAGGAGGAAGUUGAGGAUCUUUUCCACUCCUGCGACAUUGACAAUUCAAUGAGUUCAAUGUUCUUAGAAGUCAUCUAUCUCCUAGUAGAACAUUCAUCCUCUCCUCCCAAGAGCAUCCACCUUAAACUUGACUUUAUCUUCAUUCAUACUUUUGACUUAAAGACGUCAGCUUAUUGUGAUCACCCAUAUAUGAUGGCCUGAGGGUUUUGUUUCAGACAUCAAAGCCGGGCUCACCAGGGCUUCGGGCCACUUUCGAUACAAUUGUAGAAGCUUUCUUAUUCUUGGAUAAGAAUGGUAAUGGGAAGCUGUAAAAGAAAGACAUGAUCAAAGCAUUCAAAGAGGAUUCUCCUUGGGAAAAAUCCCCAGCACACAUCACCGGAUCCAGAAUUAGUUCUAUCUCUUUCACAUGAUAUAUUUCUACUUUUGACUUGUAGUUCCAGUUGUUUUAAAAUCCUCAAACCAUCCUCUUGGAGAUUCCUGUGAAUAUAUGCGGAAUAAAUGGACUGGGACAGGAAUGGGAAGGUCAGUUUCAGGGAGUUCCUCUCUUCUCUAAUCAACUGGAUUAGGAUUGAUGCUGACGAAGAAAUUCCCGAGAAGGGAAGUCAAACCAGGCACAAGAAUUUGAGCUGGAUAACUGUCGAAUAUGAGGUCAGAUUGAUGCAUUUAUGUGCAAAAAUAAAUCAUCCAAGUGUAUUAUUCAAAGCUGUCGCUCCUCUGCCAUGCUCAAUUGUGCAUGUAUUAUUAGUGGUGACAGUUAACGUUUCAUAUGCUCUAUGAAUCACCCUGAUAAAUUAAGGGUUCAUUUCUUU